AAGGCUGUUCCAGAGAAGAAAAAAAGGCUUCCUGCUGUUCCAGAAACCCUUAAGGAAUUUUACAGGGUUGAAAGUGAAGCACCUGCGGAAGAAGUUUGCCCUGAAGACAUUGAUAAGGCAAGGAGGAAGCUCAUCUAGGAGAAGACAAAAGCAUUAUCUCAAGGAGUGCAGGCAGGUGUACCGAACUGAGAUAUGGAUGGCCAGGAUGGCCUGGAAAGCUGCAAACUUUUAAGUACCCCCAGAAGCAAAAUUGGUGUUUGUCAUCAGAAUCUGAGGUCUCAGUGGUCUGUCCAGUACUGCAACUUCUUAGUCUUAGACCGAUUUUCAAGGGCACCUUUGUUUUAAGCUCAACAAGGCAUCAGUUAACAUGCUGAGGAUUGUGGAACCCUACAUUGCAUGGGGCUACCCCAACCUGAAGUCAGUAAAUGAGCUCAUCUACAAGUGAAGCUAUGGCCAAAUCAAUAAGAAGAGGAUUGCCUUGACAGACAAUUCUUUGAUUACUGGAUUUCUUAGUAAAUUUGGCAUCAUCUGCAUGGAGGAUCUAGGUUAUGAGAUCUACACAGUUGGGAAACGCUUCAAGGAAGUGAAUAAGUUAUUA
rnacentral:lncRNA from 1 species